CGCGCAGAGCCACGCAGCGAAGACUACACGGCGUUGCCGAGAGAAGUAGCAGAGGGAAGAAGGCGUGAUUGGGCGGUUGGGUUAGUUCUGAGUUAGAACCGGCGUCAAUGGAGGAUGACGAUAUGGAUUCGCUGUUUGAAGGAAUGGUGUUGUUCACUCCUUCCCAAUUGGCUGACGAACAGAAGCAUCAGCAGCAGCAGCAGCAAAAUGAUCACGAUCAAGAUCAUGAUCAUCAUAAUAUUGAAUCUCAAUCUCACGUCGAUACUGCUAAUGACAACAUUAACAAUAUUGCACCAUCACCUACAUCUCUCCGCAAGGUGCAGGAGCCUCUUGACGAGGACCUAUUCUCUGACCUCACCCUCCAAACCCUAACUACACAAUCAGAUCCUAUUCCUUCUAUUUCUCCUGCUGCUCCAGCACAAACUGCUAUCUCCCGCCAGAUAUCCAGAAAAAAGAAAAGAGCUGCUAGCCUCAGGAUCGGCUAUGGUAGAGAAGCCUCUCUUGAUGAUAUGCCUUCUCACUCUGCUCUACCUCCGCCUCUCCCUCCUAUGCCUACCCCUGAUCAUCCCUCUGCUUAUGCUGUUGACAAUCAAAAUCUCAGUCUCAAGCAUGAUGCUGAAUCCGAUGAUAUUAUUACUCAGUCUGAUAAAUCUGAUUCAGCAUUGAUGCCUCUCAAUCCACCACUCCCACUGUUUUAGCUGAUGGCGAUGAUGCAGAACUAGAUACCAGUAACAUUUCGAUCCCUGAUUCACAACCAUCGUCCAAAGAUGAUGAAUUUGAACACAUUAAGGCCUUGAUUUCUGAGAAGCUUCAGCGCUCUCGGCAAUUAGCUGCCUCUGUCUCUGGAGCUCGCAAGGACGCCGUUAGGAGGAGAAGAAAAGCUACCGACGAUCUCAAUUUGGCUUCUGCCAAGCACAGGGACCUUGAAUUGCAGUUGGAGAAUGCCUGUGAGGCCGAAGAUUUCGAGGCUGCUGAAAGGAUUAGUGACAGCCUUGCCACCAUUGACAAGGAGAGGCAAGCCCUUCUCGCUACUCUCAGAGACGCUGAAGCCCAGUGUGAUACCGUUGAUUCUAAGAUGCACGACGUUCUCGAUUCUCAUAUUGUUGCUGAGCAAGAAUGCGCAACUCUUCUCUCUAAUUUUGCCAAGGAUGCGGAAAACGAGGCAGAUUCAGUCUUGAAGCAAGCUCAAGAACUUUCUUCUAAAGAAAUGGAUGAAUGGUUCUUAUC
rnacentral:misc_RNA from 1 species